CUUCAUGCUGAUGAGAGCAGAGGAAAUUUGUAUAAUGUUUCCUUUUAACACUCCUUCCUCUCAGAUAUCUUGUGAGAUCCUGUUCUAUUUUGCAUCUUCAGCCUAUCUCGAAAGAAUCUGGUAAAAUCAUUCAUGGGAAGUUAAUUAACGGGAAGAUCCCUUUUCAUUCCAUCAAAACCAAACAUUCUGGAGGCGUCUGCUGGGCACCAGAGAGCGCUCUACAGGAAGAAAUGGUUCCCACAGGUUGGCGACUGUGGCCAUUGCUGCUAUAAACAUAGGGGUACAGAUUGUUUCUAAUGCUAGCAGUGGUUCCCAGAAACUUCAGAACCGACAUUCCACCCACCACAGAUGUGGUCAGGCUGGACGUGGUUUUUCUGUUGGUAGUCAGCGCUGGACUUUGAGGUAAGCACAAAUAGGACUAGAAACUCAUUGCUUCCUGUCUUCCCUCUCUCAAACAC
rnacentral:lncRNA from 1 species